UGGGAAUUUUCCAGCAAACCUCGGCACAUCCACAUUUGAAUGGAAGCUGCGGGUCUUGCUUUUGCCAACACUUGCCAUCCCCUUUCCUGGCCCAUCAAAUAGAAGGGCAGUAACAGGUCUCAGAGCAAUGACCAUCUUGCCACUAGUUUCACUCUCAGCACGGUCGUCCUGCCCAUCAUGCGAUUGACCUCCGUUCCGAUUUGAUGGCCAAAGAGUGAUGAACUCAUUUUCGAGCGCUUCCCCUUUCGAAUUAUCUGUCUCAGACAGUUGCUACUUCGCACUCCGUAUAGCACAACAACUCCUCAUCGCUUUGGUCAUAAAAGAAAAAGAAAAACAUCCCCAUGCCACUUUGCAACAUCACGUCACUUUGCGUGAUCCAGGAAAUUGGGCGUUUCGGCAAGGGCAUGCUGUCCGGGCG
rnacentral:sRNA from 2 species